GGAAGCUUUUACAAUAGAAGCCCAUGAACCAUGUCAGGUCCGGAAGGAAGCAGCAUUAAGUGGUCAACUUUUAUGUGUAGCAGGCUGAAGCG
rnacentral:SRP_RNA from 1 species